CGUGAAAGUCCUUCGGGAUGAGUAAAGCGGCGCACGGGUGAGUAAUGCAUAGGAACAUGCCUUUAAGUGGGGAAUAACCGCGGGAAACUGCGGCUAAUACCGCAUGUGCUCGAGAGAGUAAAGGUGGCCAAUCCUUGGAAGCUAUCGCUUAAAGAGUGGCCUAUGUCCCAUUAGCUUGUUGGUGAGGUAACGGCUCACCAAGGCGACGAUGGGUAGCUGGUCUGAGAGGACGAUCAGCCACACUGGGACUGAGACACGGCCCAGACUCC
rnacentral:rRNA from 1 species